GGUAGCCCUACCCCAAUCCAUGGCCGCCACACCCUCCCUCCUCCUCCCUCCCUCCUCCGCCGCCGCACUCCUUCCCUCCUCUUCCCUCGUAGCCACUGCCUCCGAUCCCUCCCGCACGCUCGUCCUCUCAUUUCCCGUGCCACCACUGUCGGCCCCUGCCAAGCCGCUCCUCUCCUUGUGCCCUCGCCUCCGGUCUCACCAGCCCCUUGAUGCAGCAACGGCUGCGCUCGACAUCGUCGUUCGCGACCCGACCGCGGCAAACCCUAGUGCCAUAGGCGGCUCAUGCGGUGAUGAAGUGGACGACGGCCUCAACGGGUGGGCGACGGCCGCUGCAGCUGAUGCACAAGCUCGCAUCGCCCUGGCGCCGAUCUCGCGCGGCUCAUGCGCAUUGCCACCCUCUCCUCCCUAGCUCAGCAGGAGGUUUGCGGGGCCACAACUUGGGCCGCUGCUGCCUCUUCCACCCAGCAGGACGAGCACGAGGCCUUUCUGAAUCUGAUGUAAGUGAGGUGGAGAUGAGAUGGGGACAGAAGAUCCUGCAGCGAUGUUGUUUCUUUUUUUGCCUGCUCAAGGUUAGAUGGAUGAGCCCGCCCUAUGUUCUAAUGAGUUCAUCUACGAGGGUGUUGUUCCUUUUUCAUCCGCUGAAGGUUUUCUCACUUCCUUCUACAUUGGUGCUCCAUUAUUUCUUUUCCUAUUUAGAUUUUCUGUUUUGUGAAACGGCAAAUGCUAAAUUCUGCAAUGACACUUUCUUUAAGCAUUGUGUUCGAUUUUUCCUUGGGUUUUCUAAACAUGAAGUGUACAGAUCUGAGGAUGAAGAGAAGAAGAAUUUAUCUAAAAGGGUGAAGAAGAUCAAGGUGAUUUGCCUCCCUCUUUUGAACAUUUGUUCUUGCAUUUUGAUGUUAUAAUUUGUGAUGAUUUGUGUGCACUUAUAAGAUAUUUGCUGCUAGGUACAAAGUUUAUAGUUACUGGAAUUGGAUAAAAGAGACUUGUAGGUUCAAUUUUCAAUUACAGUAGUUCAUGUGUUAUGUUUGCUGCAAUGCGUCACUUGUGCGAGAGUGAUCGAGCGAGAGAGAGAAUCGAGAAGUUGAUCAUGAUGGACAUGUUGGUAGACAUGGUGAACAUGUGGCUGCAGUUGGAGAGUGCUCGUUGGAUAUCAGGAGUAGUAUCUUCUUACAAUAGAGCUCCCAGGAUUUGAUAAUAAGUUGUCUUGGGAUUCAUUGGACAAAUGAUCUACCUGGAGCAAUGAUACAGGUAAGUUUUCUUAAGUCAAACAAGAUUAGGUUAUCAAGCGCUAAAACAUCUGAACUAUGGUAAUUGGAAGUGUAGGUUGGUGUUGAAGCCUGAUGGCAUUUUUCUUGCAGUAAAUCUUGGCGGGGAGACUCUUGUGUGCUUUAAAUUUGAUUUUCCUUUGGAUUUCUUCUCAUGUCAGUAUCCAUAUUUUGGUCAUAAGCUAGACUAGAAUGGAUGCUGCAAAGGUUGAAUUGUUUGGUAGAGGGUUGCAUAGGUGGUAGAGACUUGGUCGAUCAAAGGAACCAAUUAGUACCGCAGAAUAGGCAAAGGAUGGAUUUCUAUAGGAAGUAAGGGAAUCAACCAUGUCCAAUCAACAUCGUAUGAUCAUGUUUGGGUGUCGUUAAGGAGAGAGACAACUGAAUUGCAGAUUAAAUAAGGAUGUAAUAAUCAAUAGCUCUGCUCCUUGCAAGUAUGUUCGGUUGUAGAUUGUGCAGAUCGAGUUGUUCCCUGCCAAGGGCUGCUGAAAAAGAGGUACUGCCAUUGUGUCUUGUGGGUGUUUGACCUUAUGUCACGAUGGGAACAUCAUGUGUUCGGCAGAGCAGAAGCCUGAAGCCCUGAACAAAACAUGUUAGUUCAUUGGUGGCCAUUGACAUAAGCCAUCGGAACAAAUGGCUGUUGCACUAUAGCGGCAAGUAGUCGAGGUCAUGAUAUUUUGCACUUCAGACCGUCAGUAGAGCCAUACUAAUACAUCUUUUUGGGUGGAGUUCAAUUUUGAGGAUAGGAAAACGAGAUCUUAUAUACAGAUAAUGAGAUAAAUGUGUAGUUGUCACUUCAAUUUAAUUUAGUCAAAUAUAUAUAAGCAGGUCGCUACCUUCAUUGUCCAAAAGAUUCUACUGAAUGAUAUUGGACAGCGUUACGUCUGUGUAGAAGUAGCUUGUGUGGUGUCGGUGUAGUUUCAACCUUCCGGAAAAAGUAAAUGUUGUGUUGUGUGUGUCAAAACAUCAACAAGAGCUCAAGCUGGUUUGCUUAUCCAGUAAUACUAUGAACACAAGCAAAGCAAGCAAGAGCUCAAGCUGGUUUGCUUAUCCAGUAAUACUAUGAACACAAGCAAAGCAAGCUAUUUUCUGUUUUCUUUUUCCUGAUAUUGCAGUGGAAAUGUUUUUUUUUGCUAUCAAGGUUGAACGUCUACUAGGGAAGUACAGGCACAUUAUGUGGAUCCAAUUCUGAACAGUUAAAAUGUGAAAUAAUGCCUUUUCAAGUCCUUGAACUAAACUCAGUUCCCUCAGACAGACCAAUCUCAUCAAACUGAAACUCAGUUUCCUCUCAAAGCAUGCCACCACCUUUGCUUUGCUGUUGUUUUGGAAUUAUUUCAAUAUGGGUGAGUUCUUUUUUGUAAUUUUACUUUGUAUGUUGGCAACUAAUUGUUUUAAUUGAUUAUUGUUCUUUUAUGAAAUUGAGCGGAAAGAAAAAUACAAAGAAAAAAAUGUUUAGCUAAAUAGGCAAAGCCGCUGAGCGGCUACCAAGUUUAAUACAUUACUCAGUUAUUAUGGAUUUGAGUUAGUGGAAUGGUUGGUGAUGUUUAGUUGGUAGCCACUCAGGGGCUCAAGGCCACUCUAUAUUGUUUAAUUUGAGAAUUUACCAGUGAUGUAUUAAACUUCAUACAAAAUUCAAUGUUUUUUGGUGACUGUUAGAUAGAGACAUGAAUUUUGGGAUGACAUUCAGUCAAGUACUUGUGUUCUUCAUUUUAUGAAAUCCUCAAUAAGUCUUACCUUUUGUUGGAAGUGCAAGUUCUUAUCAUACAUGCUUGUUCAACAAUAAAGUUCCUGAAAAAACGCAAACAUUUUCGACGCGCACAUGGUUUUAAAUGGGUCUCUGCGCCAUUUGGCGCAACGGGUGAUGAUAUAUACUUAUAUGCCCAUUAUCGAUUUAUAGCUUUUUUUCUCUGCCAAUGUUAUGUUCAUAACUGCUAUUAUUUAACAUUUUUCAUUUAUAUCCCAAAGGUGCGCAUGUAUACUUUGUUCCUUACAUACAUGCGUAAUUAUGAAAAUCAUUAAAGAAGUGUUUCGGUUAUGUAGAACUGCAUGAGUUUGCUGGGCAUGGAUGGCAGUUUGUGUUAUCCAGUAAGCUUGGGAGGGUCUACCUAGGAAAGGUUGUGACCAGAAAAAGGAGCUUGUGGCAAAUGAGAUCAUCCAAAGACUUGAAAAAAGGUUGUUUCUUGGUCUUCUAGACUUGGUAGUCCUCAAGGGCAUCCUUCUAUGUUUGGAUUCUAAAAAUAUUUUGAGUUAAUUCAUUAGACUACUUCAUGCUUUCACUUGGAAUUGCUAGCUAGCAGUGGCGGAGCUUCACCCAAAUUGCUGGGCGGGCCGGUGGAGCCUAGCUGAAGGAAAUUACUACUACGCUGUUAUUCGAUGUCCAAGUAAAUAGGUAAACAUUACAGAAAUUUGCAUUGGUUGGGCGGGCCAGGGCAUAGGUUGGCCCAGUCGUAGCUCCGCCACUGCUGGCUAGUAGUCCUCGAAAUGACAAGGGAGCAUGAGAAGUCUGUUGUAAUUGACAGUGCAUACAUGAUCAGCCUAUUGAUGAUGCAGUACUUAAUAUUAUGAUUAUCUGGUUUACUUGUUGUAUUUUAUUGCGCAUACUAGACCACCAUGCAUCCCCAACCAGGUAAAAAUGUUAUAUCAGGGGGCUUUCAUGAGCUACUUGCACAAUCCUUUAAGCUAUGUUGUGAACUUUAGUGGCCUUAUUUAAGAUUUGUAGGUUGCAGUGUCUUGUGAUGAUUCCAUCAGAAAUCAAAGCUUUAAAUUGGGCUCAUUUGCAGAGCGGAAAUAUAGAGAAUGGACAUCUCAAGGGAAGGAACAUGCCCAAUAUAAUGGCCAAAGAAGGAAUGGAAAUGAGGCUGUAAUAUCAUCUUUGUUCCCAUUUCUUUCAGGAAGUCACAGCUAGGAGUGGGCUAUAAUAUCUCUUUUUUGUUCGGGAAGGAACGUGCUGAAUAUGACCGCCAGUAGCCCUUUUAUCUUUCUCUGAAAGAACUAUGAGCUAGCGUUAGAUUCUUUUCCUGGUACAUAGUUGGUAUGUACAAUUACCACACAAUAAUGAUCAUCAAUGUUUACAUUGUUUGAAUCAUUAACCCAUAUGAUUUCCACUGAUGCAUUUAAUGGGUUAUCUGUAGUAUAUCUCAA